rnacentral:rRNA from 1 species
CUUUUUGUAGAACGGGCCAACGAGUUACGUUAAGUAGCAAGGUUAAGCACUUAAGGUGCGGAGCCGUAGCGAAAGCGAGUUUUAACUGAGCGUUCAGUUAUUUGACGUAGACCCGAAACCGGGCGACCUACCCAUGAGCAGGAUGAAGCGAAAGUAAAAUUUCGUGGAGGUCCGACCCCACGAGCGUUGAAAAGCUCGGGGAUGACUUGUGGGUAGCGGUGAAAUUCCAAUCGAGCCCGGAGAUAGCUGGUUCUCCCCGAAAUAGCUUUAGGGCUAGCC